CUACGCNUGCAGUCGAGGGGCAGCGGGGAAAAGCUUGCUUUUCCGCCGGCGACCGGCGCACGGGUGCGCACCGCGUAUGGAACCUGCCUUGUACAGGGGAAUAGCCCAGGGAAACUUGGAUUAAUGCCCCGUAGUACCGUAUUUCGGCAUCGUUAUACGGUUAAAGCCUUCGGGCGGUACAAGAUGGCCAUGCGUCCCAUUAGCUGGAUGGUAAGGUAACGGCUUACCAUGGCUACGAUGGGUAGGGGCCCUGAGAGGGGGAUCCCCCACACUGGUACUGAGACACGGACCAGACUCCUACGGGAGGCAGCAGUGAGGAAUAUUGGACAAUGGAGGGGACUCUGAUCCAGCCAUGCCGCGUGCAGGAAGAAUGCCCUAUGGGUAGUAAACUGCUUUUAUACGGGAAGAAAAAGAGCUACGUGUAGCUUACUGACGGUACCGUAAGAAUAAGGACCGGCUAACUCCGUGCCAGCAGCCGCGGUAAUACGGAGGGUCCGAGCGUUAUCCGGAAUUAUUGGGUUUAAAGGGUCCGUAGGCGGGCCGAUAAGUCAGGGGUGAAAGUCUGCCGCUCAACGGUAGAACUGCCUUUGAUACUGUCGGUCUUGAGUUAUAGUGAAGUUGCCGGAAUAUGUAGUGUAGCGGUGAAAUGCAUAGAUAUUACAUAGAACACCGAUUGCGAAGGCAGGUGACUAACUAUAUACUGACGCUGAUGGACGAAAGCGUGGGGAGCGAACAGGAUUAGAUACCCUGGUAGUCCACGCCGUAAACGAUGGAUACUAGCUGUCCGGAACCUUGAGUUCUGGGCGGCCAAGCGAAAGUGAUAAGUAUCCCACCUGGGGGAGUACGUUCGCAAGAAUGAAACUCAAAGGAAUUGACGGGGGCCCGCACAAGCGGUGGAGCAUGUGGUUUAAUUCGAUGAUACGCGAGGAACCUUACCAGGGCUUAAAUGCAUAUUGACAGGGUCAGAGAUGACUUUUCCUUCGGGCAAUUUGCAAGNGCUGCAUGGUUGUCGUCAGCUCGUGCCGUGAGGUGUCAGGUUANUCCUAUAACGAGCGCAACCCCUACCGUUAGUUGCCAGCAUGUCAUGAUGGGG
rnacentral:rRNA from 1 species